CAGCCGCCACGGGAAUACAGAGGGUGCGAGCGUUAAUCGGAUUUACUGGGCGUAAAGCGUGCGUAGGCGGCUUCUUAAGUCGGAUGUGAAAUCCCUGAGCUUAACUUAGGAAUUGCAUUCGAUACUGGGAAGCUAGAGUAUGGGAGAGGAUGGUAGAAUUCCAGGUGUAGCGGUGAAAUGCGUAGAGAUCUGGAGGAAUACCAAUGGCGAAGGCAGCCAUCUGGCCUAAUACUGACGCUGAGGUACGAAAGCAUGGGGAGCAAACAGGAUUAGAUACCCGCGUAGUCCCUGUCUCUUAUAC
rnacentral:rRNA from 1 species